AAGGGUAACCAUCCUGAAGAGUUUGGUUCUACUUCUCAUGUCUAGAAGCAGCUGUACCUGUAUGGCAAUUCACUUCUGAGGAGCUUGCUAUUCAAAUUUCUGUGAAGAGAGCAAUGGGACUUGUCUUAUGCAUUGGUAUCUCCCGUUUCCACACCAGUGUUGGAAAUAAGGUAAAAGCAAGUUGUGCAUCUGAGACUCAGCAGUGCUGUAUCUAAAAUAAGGGCCCAGGACUGCCAGUCCAGGGAUGGAAUCACAAACGAAGGGCCGGGUAUUCCCACAUCAAUUGCUAAUUAAAGAGGUGCACUACACAGGACACCUUCCCUACAGGACAAUUGAGUGGAGGUUUCUGGCGUAUCCUGUUUCUGGAUCCUAACUCUCAGUAGGGAGAUCCUUCUAAGAGCAUAAGUUUCCAGCUGUGUCAACCAUCAGUUGGUCACCCACAUCUUCUGCACCAUCUGUAGCAGAGAAUCCUGUGGAAGAGGAAGCAGAAAAAGAGUCAGAGAAGAUGGAGGACACCAAGAAGUAAGGGAAAGUCAACAGGACCAGUGCACAUAGGAUCUCCCAGAGACUGAAGCAGCAUGCAUAGGACCUGCUCAGGAUUUGACAGAAUUCAAAAUAUUCCAGGCUGUUUGUCACUAGGGGAACACCAAAGUUGUGAAGGAAUGUGCCUCUCUUUCUGACCCAGACAAAGAUGCCACAUCAUCACUAGAGAAGAGUUCUUCUGUCUAAAGGAUGAUACAAGUGAGUCUAUACCCAGGGAAAGACAAGCAAGCCUUCCCUAUUGGGGAAUAUACUUGAGCUCUAUGGGAGACUCGGGUCUGGAAAUGAGCGAGAAGCCAAGCAGCUACCCUAACCAAGGAAAAAAAAGACAUCUUAGAUAGAAAAAGGGUUUGUCAAUAGUUUCCUUCUACAUUGUCUUGUGAAAGUAAGGGCCUUGCAAUUUGUGGACAGUCAUUGCAACUACAGAUGACUGGGGAGUGUUUGGUCCUCACUCCCAGUACCUGGGCUCAGCUGCUGCAACUCAUCAGCCAGACGAGGGAGAUGCUCAGAAGGGCACACCUGGCCUGCAUUUGCAAGCAAAAUGUAUCUGCAGCUUCUAUGCUACAACUCUGCUAUUUCAUGUAAGGCCUAGGUUCCUGGAUCAGCCUUCCAUGAAAGCAUGAAAAACAUGGCUCCUGUUUGGCCCCUAUCCAGAAUCUGAUCAUUUCCUACCACUCUUGGGUGGUCCCCAACUCUCUCAACAUGACAUUUUGGCACUUGUUUUUUCUCUCCUAUCAGCCAAGUUGGAAGAUGGAGACAGCAUGGAUUGUUUGAAUCACUGUGGGAAAUGGAAAUCACCAAUCUAGUCUGGUGGUUCUCAAAUUGGAUUGUGUGUGAACUUCACCUGGAUGGCUUGUUAGAACAUAGAGGUUUUGGCUUUCUCCCCCACAACUUUAGAACCAGCGGUUUAUCAGUGGUUCAAGAGUUGGGAUUUCUAUCCGUUUUCCUGCGAUUCUGAUAAUAGUCUGGAAACUUUCAUAAGCAUUUUUGAUUUUCUCCAGAGCUUGGAAGUUUGGAGAAAGCAGAAGCUCCUCCCAUACUAGAGCAUCAGUUCACAAGUGACCUGGAUGUAUGCUUUACUGGAUUCUGCAGUCUGAGACUGGGUAUUGGCUCUUACAAACUAUCGGUGAUUCCAGUAGCUGUCCGGGCUCAUUCGGGUCCAUCAAACAGCGGAAAAUGAUAGGAAGGAGUCUCAUGUCUGUCACCAUGCACAAAGCUCAAGUCCAAGUGGAUUAAAGACCUCAAUAUCAGUCUGAACACACUGAACCUGAUAGAAGAGAAAGUGGGAAGUACUCUACAACAAGUGGGCACAGAGAGACCACUUCCUACGUAUAACCCCAGCAGCACAGACAGUAAGGGCCGCAUUGAAUAAAUGGGACCUCCUGAGACUGAGAAGCUUCUGUAAAGCAAAGGACACGGUCGCUAAGACAGAAAGGCAACCCACUGACUGGGAGAAUAUCUUCACCAACCCUGGAACUGGGUUUCUUAAAAUGAAGCUUUCUAUGUACAAUUUGUAAUUAUCAAAGUUUUAUGUGGGGUAAUUGUGAAGUGACCCUCUGCAGGGGAGGGGAGGGGCUGGUUAUGAGUUCUCUGUGGGUGCUUCUCAGUUCUAAUUUCUUAUUAUAAUGAAGACUGAUUGGUAAUGGGAUCAACAUUUUGCUCAAGGGCCUGCAAGUUUCUUUUUAGGAACAAUUUCCCACUGCGGCACAUUUGGUCUGUGAGGAGAGGGUAGCUGCUGGAGGCAGAUGUACUGACAGGAAGCCAAACCCAAGCUGGCCUCCCUGCAUGUGUGGCUGGCUCAAGGGAACCACCUGUCCUCCUUCCUACCCAAGGUGAGUGUAGAACAGCUUGGGCUGAUGGCUGUCCCCAGAUACAUCCCGACAGGGUGGUCUCUGUGGAGGAAUGAGAUUCUAUUAAAUCUUAGUCAUCCCCUGAGGCAUCUGAGGGAGACAAUAAUAAUCUUUAGAUCUAGCCCUGAAGUUUAAAGAAAUUAUUAAGAAUAAAAUAUGCCAGGAAACUUUGUAAAAACUGUCAUAAAACACAAAACAAGAUGCUAGGUUGGUCCCAGUCAAUUAAGCAAGCUGGGAUAAAGAAAAAAAAAAGAGUAUUUCCUGAGCGUUUUCUCUGUACCUUGUAAUUGAAAUACCUCCGCUAAUUUUCACAUUCAGGGCAACACAGGAACCUGGAAUUUGUCAUUUUAAUUAUAUGUGGAAUUAAGCCAGGGUCAGAGAGGGUAAUUGAUUUCCCUAAAAUUUGGCAAGUGGCUGAGUCUAUGGUGUCCAAACUGGUCAGGCUCCAGAUUCAUGUUUACACCAUAGGACCCUGUUUCCUCAAUGUCAGGUCUCAUUUAUAGCAAAAUACAGUAGGCCAUCAAGGAACUAAAUGUCUGUACGUACCAAGCAUGUCUUUGUUGUCUGCAAAAUACAGUUGGCUAUCAUAGAACUUAAUGUCUGUACGUACCAAACAUGUCUUUAGUUGUCUGCAAACAGUCACAUGCUGAUCAAACUCCAUGCUCUCAUCAAGGCUCAUGGAAUAUUCAUCUUCAAUAUUACUUAGGAGUCAGAAAAUGCUAAUUUAUUCCUAAUCAUUUCUAUCCCCAGCCCAUCCUGUCUGUGCUCUUACCCUUCUACCAUUUCUCCAUCACACAUUCAUGAGUUCACCCGUUCACUCAAUAGUCGUUUAUUGAGAAGUUCCUAUUCUAUGCCAGCCAUUUUUUUUUCCAUUUUGGUUCUAGAGAUACAAGACUGCACGAGAUAUAUAGGUGUUUAUGGACUUUUCUAUUUGGAAAAAUGUAUAUCAGUUUUGAUUUUGUCUGCUGAACAUGUUGUAAUGAAAAAUGCACUAAUCUGAGGGGUGCAAGAUUAUUUUGUAGGAGACCUACCACUAAAGGAGUGGUUGCAAAAGUUCUUAAGGGAGAGAAAGGUCAGGCUCUACCAGAUAAGUUACAGAACAAGAGAUACAGUACAGAGGGGAGAAUAUUCCAGGCCCAGAGAAUAGCGCCUGGGAGGGUACUGUCAUAGUAGGGCCUGAGACAGUUUAUAGAGCAGUGUGCUGUCUAGCAUACCAACCAUGGGGAAAGUUAGUGAAAGGUUGACAAUGUGGUAGUAGAAGAUCCGAAGGUUGUUGGGGGCUCAUACAUAGUUCUACUGCUUGGUAGCUCAGUGUAGGUCAUGACCCUCUCCUGAGACCCUCUCUGACAUAGAAUAAGAUACAGAUAAAGAUGCCUACUAUUCUACACUGGUAAAGGGUUAAACAAAGAGCAUGUAAAACAGAAUUAAUUCAAAUGGGCUCAACCACCUUCUGCACUGUAAUUCUCACUGUUCUUCCUCCCACUGUCCCUUGUGUCCUUGCCUUCAUUAAAAGGUCUGUCCACUCUAAAACCUAGAAUCUACGCUGUUUGUUUGCUGUAUGGAAAUGACUGAUCAGAGGAGAAGAUUGUAGUGAUGGAGUGCUAGCCUUGUGACUUUCUGCAGAUGGUAUCCUUAUUCCAGAGGGGCAGGAGAAAGAUUGGGAGUUCUCUUCCUGAGAGUAACAGUGAAGGAGUGACUACUAGGAGCAACAUUUUCAACCUUCCUUUGCUGAGGGCCUUUAAUACAGUUCCUCAUGUUGUCAUGAACCCCGACCAUAAAAGUGUGUUGUUGAUUCUUCAGAACUGUGAUUUUGGUACUGGGAGGAAUCAUUGUGUAAGCAAUUAUGUUUUCCUAUGGUUUUAGGUGACCCCUGUGAAAGGGCCAUUUGACCCCCAAAGUCUUCCUGGUCCACAGGUUGAGAACCACUGGAUUAGGAGAUUCCAAAUAGCAUCAAGUGUAUUUAAUCUAAUGGUCAAAAUAAUGGUCUUUGAAAACAUUCACAUCCUAAUCCUCAGGACUUUUAAAAAUGUUCCUCAAAUGGCAAACAGGAUGAUAUAGAGGUGAUUAAGCUAAGGAUUCUGAGAUAAGAAGAUUGCUUAGAUCAUCUGCGUAGGUCCAGUAUAAUUACAAACAUCCUUACAAAUAAAAGGAGGAAAUGGGAUGUCAGAAGUAGUGGGAGAUGCUGCUGACUGUAAUAGGCCAAAGACUUUUGGAUAGACUUUCUUCUCAUGCAUGGCUAGGGUCUUAAACUAUAACAUAAAAGAAUUUCAGAAUGGUCCAGUAUGAACAACCUUUGGGAUUUAUUAAGAAAAAGAAGUAGAAUAUAUACUUUAGAUUUAAGUAUAGGGAGGGAAAAUGUAAGGGAGAG